UUGUUGUGCUAAUAAUCUAAUACUAUUCUUAAUUCCAAUCCAAUUUGACCGGUCGAUCAGAUUGGGUUUAAUAAGAAUUUUAUCUUUUAGGAGGGACAAUCAUGGCACGGGGAUUGAGGUCCCUAUUGAGGUGGAAAAAAGGAUGCAUAUUUAUUACAUUCGGAACAGAGGGUUUGGUAACAGAUUUAAUGUGUUGGGUGAUGACAAUCAUGGCACUCCGAAUGACUUAACGCAAUGACCCAGAAAUCAAGAAGGCAUGUGACUCAUACAGUGAUCAUUUUGGACAGUUCUUCAAACUGAUAUUCUAUGGCAUCCAAAAGGAGCAGUACUAGUAGAAGUUGGUUGUACAAAGUCAAAGCUUGUGUGCUUGCAUUUAUAGUGACUUGAUGUGAAGAGUGUGGAAGGAAGAAAAGAAGAAAAAUGUGUGAAAUAAAAGGAAAGGCCAUUCGGCCAUGGGUCUCCAGUUUCUACAUGACCACAUUCAUUUUUUUCUAAA